AGAAAAGAGAUUUAUGAAGAGGAACCUUUAUCUCUUGGAUUGCUUUGCUCGACCAUUCUUCUGCAGUCUUGCAGCAAUCGAAUGGCUUUGCCUACGCAUGGAGUUGCUCUCUACAUUUGUCUUUGCUUUUUGCAUGGUUUUACUUGUGAGCUUUCCUCAUGGGAGCAUAGAUCCUAGUAUGGCAGGUCUUGCUGUGACAUAUGGCCUGAACUUGAAUGCACGCCUGUCACGAUGGAUACUUAGUUUCUGCAAGCUUGAAAACAAGAUUAUUUCAAUAGAAAGGAUUCAUCAAUAUUGUCAUAUUCCUAGUGAGGCCCCACAAAUUAUUGAACCUCGUCCCCCAUCGUCAUGGCCAGAAGAAGGAACCAUUGAACUGAUUGAUUUAAAGGUUCGUUAUAAGGAGAGUCUUCCAGUUGUGCUUCA
rnacentral:misc_RNA from 1 species